UACGGAGGGUCCAAGCGUUAUCCGGAAUCACUGGGCGUAAAGGGUGCGUAGGCGGGUCUUUAAGUCAGGGGUGAAAUCCUGGAGCUCAACUCCAGAACUGCCUUUGAUACUGAGGAUCUUGAGUUCGGGAGAGGUGAGUGGAACUGCGAGUGUAGAGGUGAAAUUCGUAGAUAUUCGCAAGAACACCAGUGGCGAAGGCGGCUCACUGGCCCGAUACUGACGCUGAGGCACGAAAGCGUGGGGAGCAAACAGG
rnacentral:rRNA from 1 species